rnacentral:lncRNA from 1 species
AAACUGUCAGAGGUGCUCAUGGGUGGCCCAAGAACAAGGAAACUGAAGUGGCCUCACCAAGGGGGUCAGCCUCUGUUUCUGCUGAUGCUAUGUAAUACUGAGUGUGGAUCCUCUGCUCUGUGGGUGGUGCUCUGUGGCAACGGGCUGUCAGAGUGGACCAGUACUCUGAAGAGGAAAAAAUUAUCUGUGUGAAGAAACAUGGAUUCACUUCAAACCUGUCCUUUCCGAGCUACACUGAGUAAACUGGGACAGCUUCCGGUCCUCCAUCCAGG